rnacentral:rRNA from 1 species
GUAGGGAAACCGAGUCUUAACUGGGCGUCUAGUUGCAAGGUAUAGACCCGAAACCCGGUGAUCUAGCCAUGGGCAGGUUGAAGGUUGGGUAACACUAACUGGAGGACCGAACCGACUAAUGUUGAAAAAUUAGCGGAUGACUUGUGGCUGGGGGUGAAAGGCCAAUCAAACCGGGAGAUAGCUGGUUCUCCCCGAAAGCUAUUUAGGUAGCGCCUCGUGAACUCAUCUUCGGGGGUAGAGCACUGUUUCGGCUAGGGGGUCAUCCCGACUUACCAAACCGAUGCAAACUCCGAAUACCGAAGAAUGUUAUCACGGGAGACACACGGCGGGUGCUAACGUCCGUCGUGAAGAGGGAAACAACCCAGACCGCCAGCUAAGGUCCCAAAGUCAUGGUUAAGUGGGAAACGAUGUGGGAAGGCACAGACAGCCAGGAUGUUGGCUUAGAAGCAGCCAUCAUUUAAAGAAAGCGUAAUAGCUCACUGGUCGAGUCGGCCUGCGCGGAAGAUGUAACGGGGCUAAACCAUGCACCGAAGCUGCGGCAGCGAACGUAUCACUUAAAACG